CGGACCAUCUAGGCACAACGUGGUGAUGAAGUGAUGGCUUCCAGGGCAGAGACCAGGAGGACUUCAUCUGUGGGGCAGCUAAUUCUGUGUCUGAGUCUUGGAGGAACGGAGAGUGGAACCCGCUGCGUCUGGAGAGUGGCGCCCACAGCAUCUGACUUCCUUCAACCCUGAAGAAGAAACAAGACAAAGUGAUUGGAGACCUUUCCCAAGGUCACGUGGGAGGUGAGGCAAAUGGCAGACUGGCUCUGGAAGCUUUGAAAAGACCAAGAUGCAGGAGCUGAACUUCAGGGUCUGAGAAGAGAACCACGUCAGUGUUACGGUUAAAAAAAAAAAAAAAAAGAAAAUCCAACCCACUUCCGGGUUUGAAAACCCACCGGUCCCUGAGACUCCCCCCGCCCCCUCAAAAAAAGCUUGCCUCUCACUCGGUUCCCUGAUGUUUCUCACUGAGGCAGAGGCAGCUGCCCUCUGUCUUUCCCAAUAAAUAUCUUGUGUAUGUUCUUGUCAUGCGACAUUGG